GAUGAACGCUGGCGGCGUGCCUAAUACAUGCAAGUCGAGCGAACAGACGAGGAGCUGGCUCCUCUGACGUUAGCGGCGGACGGGUGAGUAACACGUGGAUAACCUACCUAUAAGACGGGGAUAACUUCGGGAAACCUGAGCUAAUACCGUAUAACAUGGUUAACCGCAUGGUUCAACAGUGAAAGACGGUCUUGCUGUCACUUAUAGAUGGAUCCGCGCCGCAUUAGCUAGUUGGUAAGGUAACGGCUUACCAAGGCUACGAUGCGUAGCCGACCUGAGAGGGUGAUCCGCCACACUGGAACUGAGACACGGUCCAGACUCCUACGGGAGGCAGCAGUAGAGAAUCCUACGCAAUGGGCGAAAGGCUGACGGAGCAACGCCGCGUGAGUGAAGAAGGUCUUCGGAUCGUAAAAGUCUGUUAUUCGGGAAGAACAAAUGUGUAAGUAACUAUGAACGUCUUGACGGUACCUAAUCAGAAAGCCACGGCUAACUACGUG
rnacentral:rRNA from 1 species